UUUGGUGCGAUGAUUAUAAAACAAUUCCUCGUUCUGAAUGCUGUUGCCACGGCAUGACAGACUCUUUACACCCAUAGAAUAUGAGCACCA
rfam:Ipomoea nil DNA, scaffold: scaffold3321, cultivar: Tokyo-kokei standard.